AUCUGUUCUUAUCAGUUUAAUAUCUGAUAUGCCCCCGAUUUGGGGGCAACGUAUUAAACGCAUUUUUAGAACAGGGAGCCGAAUAAGGGGCUCGCUCCGUUCGCUCCACGCAUCGACCCGGUAUUGCAGCGCCUCCGGGAACGGUGC
ensembl:snRNA U2 U2 spliceosomal RNA